rnacentral:rRNA from 1 species
UGAGGGAUAUUGCGCAAUGGGCGAAAGCCUGACGCAGCGACGCCGCGUGGGCGAAGAAGGUUUUCGGAUCGUAAAGCCCUUUUUCAGGUGACGAGGAAGGACGGUAGCCUGAGAAUAAGUGUCGGCUAACUACGUGCCAGCAGCCGCGGUAAAACGUAGGUGGCGAGCGUUAUCCGGAUUCACUGGGCGUAAAGCGCCUGCAGGCGGUCUCGUAAGUGGGAUGUGAAAUCUCCUGGCUUAACUGGGAGGGGCCAUUCCAUACUGCGGGACUUGAGGGCAGGAGAGGGAAGCGGAAUUCCCGGUGUAGUGGUGAAAUGCGUAGAUAUCGGGAGGAACACCAGUGGCGAAGGCGGCUUCCUGGCCUGCUCCUGACGCUAAGAGGCGAAAGCUAGGGGAGCGAACGGGAUUAGAAACCCCGGUAGUCCUAGCCAUAAACGAUGGAUACUGGGUGUCGGUGGUCCUAACCCCAUCGGUGCCGGAGCUAACGCGUUAAGCAUCCCGCCUGGGGACUACGGCCGCAAGGUUA